rnacentral:rRNA from 1 species
UACGGAGGGUGCAAGCGUUAUCCGGAUUCACUGGGUUUAAAGGGUGCGUAGGUGGGCAAGUAAGUCAGUGGUGAAAUCUCCGGGCUUAACCCGGAAACUGCCAUUGAUACUAUUUGUCUUGAAUACUGUGGAGGUCAGCGGAAUAUGUCAUGUAGCGGUGAAAUGCUUAGAUAUGACAUAGAACACCCAAUGCGAAGGCAGCUGGCUACCCAAAUAUUGGCACUGAGGCACCAAAGCGUGGGGAUCAAACAGG